rnacentral:miRNA from 1 species
ACAAAAAACGUGGGUCAC